UAGAACGCUGAAGAGAGGAGCUUGCUCUUCUUGGAUGAGUUGCGAACGGGUGAGUAACGCGUAGGUAACCUGCCUUGUAGCGGGGGAUAACUAUUGGAAACGAUAGCUAAUACCGCAUAACAAUGGAUGACCCAUGUCAUUUAUUUGAAAGGGGCAAAUGCUCCACUACAAGAUGGACCUGCGUUGUAUUAGCUAGUAGGUGAGGUAACGGCUCACCUAGGCGACGAUACAUAGCCGACCUGAGAGGGUGAUCGGCCACACUGGGACUGAGACACGGCCCAGACUCCUACGGGAGGCAGCAGUAGGGAAUCUUCGGCAAUGGGGGCAACCCUGACCGAGCAACGCCGCGUGAGUGAAGAAGGUUUUCGGAUCGUAAAGCUCUGUUGUAAGUCAAGAACGAGUGUGAGAGUGGAAAGUUCACACUGUGACGGUAGCUUACCAGAAAGGGACGGCUAACUACGUGCCAGCAGCCGCGGUAAUACGUAGGUCCCGAGCGUUGUCCGGAUUUAUUGGGCGUAAAGCGAGCGCAGGCGGUUUGAUAAGUCUGAAGUUAAAGGCUGUGGCUCAACCAUAGUUCGCUUUGGAAACUGUCAAACUUGAGUGCAGAAGGGGAGAGUGGAAUUCCAUGUGUAGCGGUGAAAUGCGUAGAUAUAUGGAGGAACACCGGUGGCGAAAGC
rnacentral:rRNA from 1 species